UUUGAUAGAGGUGCGAACCUUCAAUAUCUGUAUUAACGGUUUGCCGGCAGGCAUAAUGCAGAGAGGGGAGGAUCGCCGAAACAGCGGGAAUUCUGCCGAUGCACCGCUGUUGGUCUGUUGCAGAAUAUGUAACCGACUGUCACAAUCGUGGAGCGCUAUCGGU
rnacentral:ncRNA from 1 species